rnacentral:lncRNA from 1 species
AUGCCCCUGAGGGUGAAGAGGAUGUUUUCCAAACAUAUUUUCCUUAAUUUUCAGCUGGACAGCAAACCUCAGCUGCAUAGCCUCAGGGCAGAAAGUGUUCCAGAAACCCCAUGGAUGGAUGGACAGCUUGUUGAAAGAAGUCAGGUAUUUUUCCUUGCGACUUAUCAUGAUGAUCCCAACUGCUUUCUCAAGGUGGAACGCAAUUUUUACAAGGAUGGGGAUACUGUGAUUGCUGCAUUAUUCCCCAUUUACACAUAUCUCACUGAUACAUUCUUGAAUGUUUUCAAAAAGAAUCUCAUAUGUGAAGGCUCAGCUUUUGGAGGCCACACUCAUAAAGCCCCUUAUCUUCAGAGUCUGCACAAAAGAGCCAAGGCAAGGUGGGACCUCUUCUCAUUCCCCAUGCCUCAUGACCCAUAUUCCUGUACAGGACAUGCUUCCUGUCUCUGUCCUGUCAUGAGAAACCUGUACUCACCAUGCUGA